UACGUAGGUGGCAAGCGUUGUCCGGAUUUACUGGGCGUAAAGAGCGCGCAGGCGGUCGUUCAAGUCGCGUGUGAAAGCCCCCGGCUCAACUGGGGAGGGUCACGCGAUACUGAUCGACUGGAAGGCAGGAGAGGGUAGUGGAAUUCCCGGUGUAGUGGUGAAAUGCGUAGAUAUCGGGAGGAAUACCAGUGGCGAAGGCGGCUGCCUGGCCUGUUCUUGACGCUGAGGCGCGAAAGCUGGGGGAGCAAACGGGG
rnacentral:rRNA from 1 species